UUCCAUGUCUCAACAAGUUUUUAAUGACUAUACUGCGAACAAAAAAGUUUUAACAAAAUUUCACAUCAUUUAAUUAAAAAAGACGGUCUAUUCAGACCUGAGCCAGUGACCAUCAUGUGGUGAUUGUCGUUUUUUUUUAAUAAAGAAAAAAUACAUGUGAUGAUGUGAUUAUAAAAUACGAAAUUUAUCUGUGAAACGAACCCAAUUACCUUUCGUUUUAGAAUGAUAUAAUCGUUCACACACGCUGUAAACGUUCUAAAACGAAAUGAUUAGCUUCACAAUUUACCGAACAACACGCUUGUUAUCAUGCUAUGUCGUGUAUAAACGGAAUGGAACACGGAAUGGAACACGGAAUG
rnacentral:lncRNA from 1 species